UGGGGAAUUUUGGACAAUGGGCGAAAGCCUGAUCCAGCAAUGCCGCGUGUGUGAAGAAGGCCUUCGGGUUGUAAAGCACUUUUGUCCGGAAAGAAAUCCUUGGCUCUAAUACAGUCGGGGGAUGACGGUACCGGAAGAAUAAGCACCGGCUAACUACGUGCCAGCAGCCGCGGUAAUACGUAGGGUGCAAGCGUUAAUCGGAAUUACUGGGCGUAAAGCGUGCGCAGGCGGUUUGCUAAGACCGAUGUGAAAUCCCCGGGCUCAACCUGGGAACUGCAUUGGUGACUGGCAGGCUAGAGUAUGGCAGAGGGGGGUAGAAUUCCACGUGUAGCAGUGAAAUGCGUAGAGAUGUGAGGAAGAUACCGAUGGCGAAGGCAGCCCCCUGGGCCAAUACUGACGCUCAUGCACGAAAGCGUGGGGAGCAAACAGGAUUAGAUACCCUGGUAGUCCACGCCCUAAACGAUGUCAACUAGUUGUUGGGGAUUCAUUUCCUUAGUAACGUAGCUAACGCGUGAAGUUGACCGCCUGGGGAGUACGGUCGCAAGAUUAAAACUCAAAUGAAUUGACGGGGUCAUAGCUGUUUCCU
rnacentral:rRNA from 1 species